GUCGAGGGGUAGCACGGAGGAAGCUUGCUUCCUUGGGUGACGACCGGCGCACGGGUGAGUAACGCGUAUCCGACCUACCCAUAACUCGGGCACAGCCGCUCGAAAGAGUGAUUGAUUCCCGAUAUGUCUUUAGAGUAGAUCUAAUGAUGAAAGAUUCAUCGGUUAUGGAUGGGGAUGCGUAAGAUUAGGUAGUAGGCGGGGUAACGGCCCACCUAGCCGACGAUCUUUAGGGGUUCUGAGAGGAAGGUCCCCCACACUGGUACUGAGACACGGACCAGACUCCUACGGGAGGCAGCAGUGAGGAAUAUUGGUCAAUGGGCGGAAGCCUGAACCAGCCAAGUAGCGUGAAGGAUUACAGCCCUACGGGUUUUAAACUUCUUUUAUAUGAGAGUAAUGUGCGCUACGUGUAGCGUAUUGCAAGUAUCAUAUGAAUAAGCAUCGGCUAACUCCGUGCCAGCAGCCGCGGUAAUACGGAGGAUGCGAGCGUUAUCCGGAUUUAUUGGGUUUAAAGGGAGCGUAGGCGGGAUAUUAAGUCAGUCGUCAAAGCCUGUGGCUCAACCACAGCCCGCGAUUGAUACUGGUAACCUUGAGUGCGGAUGAGGUGGAUGGAAUUCGUGGUGUAGCGGUGAAAUGCUUAGAUAUCACGAAGAACUCCGAUUGCGAAGGCAGUUCACUGGGCCGCAACUGACGCUGAAGCUCGAAAGUGCGGGUAUCAAACAGGAUUAGAUACCCUGGUAGUCCGCACCGUAAACGAUGGAUACUCGCUGCCGGCGAUACACAGUCGGUGGCCACGCGAAAGCAUUAAGUAUCCCACCUGGGGAGUACGCCGGCACGGUGAAACUCAAAGGAAUUGACGGGGGCCCGCACAAGCGGAGGAACAUGUGGUUU
rnacentral:rRNA from 1 species